GUGAUUGCUUUGGCAGCACGUACACUAAAAUUGGAGCAAUACAGAGAUUAGCAUGGUCCCUGUGCAAGGAUGACAUGCGAAUUUGUGAAGCGUUCCAUAUUAAA
rnacentral:snRNA from 1 species